rnacentral:rRNA from 1 species
AACGAACGCUGGCGGCAGGCUUAACACAUGCAAGUCGAGCGCCCCGCAAGGGGAGCGGCAGACGGGUGAGUAACGCGUGGGAACAUACCCUUUCCUGCGGAAUAGCUCCGGGAAACUGGAAUUAAUACCGCAUACGCCCUACGGGGGAAAGAUUUAUCGGGGAGGGAUUGGCCCGCGUUGGAUUAGCUAGUUGGUGGGGUAAAGGCCUACCAAGGCGACGAUCCAUAGCUGGUCUGAGAGGAUGAUCAGCCACAUUGGGACUGAGACACGGCCCAAACUCCUACGGGAGGCAGCAGUGGGGAAUAUUGGACAAUGGGCGCAAGCCUGAUCCAGCCAUGCCGCGUGAGUGAUGAAGGCCUUAGGGUUGUAAAGCUCUUUCACCGGAGAAGAUAAUGACGGUAUCCGGAGAAGAAGCCCCGGCUAACUUCGUGCCAGCCGCCGCGGUAA